UACUGAUACCCGUCAAUAGACAAAGAUAGAAUAAGGAUCAAACUUAAAUAUUCUCCCUUUUAUGGGACAAUACAUAUAUAUAUAUAUAGAACAAGAGAUAUACAUUGGAGGUGAAUGAAUAAUGUUGUAGCAUAUGCCAUUUGCCUUAUUGCUGAGUCCAGUCCAGACGUUCUGAUUUGUUGAACUUUCAAUCUUGUUGCAAUGAGAAUGCAAAGACUUAAGUUCAAGGAAUGGAUACCCUUUCCCUGCACAGGCAAACGCAGCAGAUUACAACCCUGCAACAUGAAAAUGAGAUAGUAAACCUGGAGAGUUAAGCGUGUUUUUCUUUUGCAGGAAUAAGUAGUGUAGUUGGGGUUGGAGAAAUUCUAAACACAGAAACAUAGGCUGUUAAGAGUGAAGCAUGUUGUUAUUCAGCUGUGGCAACCUCAAGUGCAAUUGCAUGGUUAAAGAUGGAAUUAGAUAGAAACCUUAAAAUGGAGGUAUGAGGUACAUGUUGUGAAGUAAAGAUUCAGAUAUAUAUACGCUGCCAAAUUCUUCCCGAGUUUGUAAAGGAUCUAUGGGGUAAUUCAUCAAAGUGAACUGUGGAGAUUGGAUCAUAUUUUCUGGAACCAGUAGGUGGAAUCAAAUGGAUCAGUCUUUCCUUGGAGGCUGGCUGGUAUUGGUCUUAAAAAGAAGAGAAAAGUAAAGCAUUGAAGAGGAA
rnacentral:lncRNA from 1 species